rnacentral:rRNA from 1 species
UUCCGGNUGAUCCUGCCGGAGGUUACUGCUAUCGAGGUUCGACUAAGCCAUGCGAGUCGAAUGCCGCAAGGCAUGGCGUACUGCUCAGUAACACGUGGACAACCUACCCUUAGGACUGGGAUAACCCCGGGAAACUGGGAAUAAUCCCCGAUAGUCCUCGAAGGCUGGAAUGCAUCGAGGGCGAAAGCUCCGGCGCCUAAGGAUGGGUCUGCGGCCUAUCAGGUAGUAGUGGGUGUAGCGUACCUACUAGCCUACGACGGGUACGGGUUGUGAGAGCAAGAGCCCGGAGAUGGAUUCUGAGACACGAAUCCAGGCCCUACGGGGUGCAGCAGGCGCGAAAACUUUACAAUGCUGGCAACAGCGAUAAGGGAACCUCGAGUGCCAGGUUACAAAUCUGGCUGUCGAGAUGCCUAAAAAGCAUUUCAUAGCAAGGGCCGGGCAAGACCGGUGCCAGCCGCCGCGGUAACACCGGCGGCUCGAGUGGUAACCGUUAUUAUUGGGUCUAAAGGGUCUGUAGCCGGCCGGAUAAGUCUCUUGGGAAAUCUGGCAGCUCAACUGUCAGGCUAUCAGGAGAUACUGUCUGGCUCGAGGCCGGGAGAGGUGAGAGGUA